rnacentral:rRNA from 1 species
UACAGAGACUGCAAGCGUUAUUCGGAUUCACUGGGCGUAAAGGGCGCGUAGGCGGUCAGCACAAGUCAGUUGUGAAAUCUCCGGGCUUAACUCGGAAAGGUCAACUGAUACUGUGCGACUAGAGUGCAGAAGGGGCAACUGGAAUUCUCGGUGUAGCGGUGAAAUGCGUAGAUAUCGAGAGGAACACCUGCGGCGAAGGCGGGUUGCUGGGCUGACACUGACGCUGAUGCGCGAAAGCCAGGGGAGCGAACGGG